UACGAAGGGGCUAGCGUUGCUCGGAAUCACUGGGCGUAAAGCGCACGUAGGCGGCUUUCUAAGUCAGGGGUGAAAUCCUGGAGCUCAACUCCAGAACUGCCUUUGAUACUGGAGAGCUUGAGUCCGGAAGAGGUGAGUGGAACUCCGAGUGUAGAGGUGAAAUUCGUAGAUAUUCGGAAGAACACCAGUGGCGAAGGCGGCUCACUGGUCCGGUACUGACGCUGAUGUGCGAAAAGCGUGGGGAGCAAACAGGG
rnacentral:rRNA from 1 species